UGCUGACGAUGCAGACUUCCAAGCUGAGUGGGAAUCAGCCAAGAUGGCUGACAAGCAGCGAUUAGCUCAGUUCAUAUUUCAAGUGACAGGUGUAAGCAUUGACCCAAAUAGCCUCUUUGACUCACAGUUCAAGUGGAUCCAUGAAUAUAAAAGACAGCUGCUAAAUAUUAUGGGUGCGGUCUAUAGGUACAAGAAGUUAAAAGGUACAAGAAGUUAAAGAUUGGAUUGGGGUGAAAUUUUUGACGUGCAACAAUGAUGUAAUUUGCUUGAAUGUUCAUUUUGUUUGCUAAGGAUACACAUACUUUGUGGAGUUGCACUAGUUAUUGUUAGAUGUUUGGUAGAAUUGUAUAAGUUAUAACUUUUGGAUAUUUUGUGGAUAUUGAACUAUUUUAUUGUAUUAGGAUGAAAUUAUUUAUAAUGAUGAAUGGAUAUUUUCAUUUUGUUAA